AUUUUCAGAUAAGGAUUGGUAUAGGAAGGUUCUAGAACCUGGGGCAGAUGUCCCCAUUUGGUUAGCACAAAAAUGUUGAGCCAAUAAGGGAUAACCAGGUGUCCAGGCAGUUAAAAAAGAUGUCUUGCAGGCUGGGAAUAAUUCCCAAGGUUGUUUUUUAAGAACAUGGAUAGAGAGGCCUAUAAAAGGCCGCCUUUCCUUCACUCAAAAGCAGAGUUUCAAGCAUAUUUCCCUGCAAAAAAGUUCUGAAAUACAAAAAUAGAUUCUGAACCUAAAAAAAAAGAACAAAAAGGUUUCUACAUUGGUUAGCUAAAGAUUUUUCUAAUUUUGACAAGAAAACUAGAAAAACCCAAACAAUUUAAUGUUGUUUGAACUCGGUGAAACUGAUGUUGUUCAGUUGUUCUUGACAAAGAACAAAGAUGGACAUAAGUUUGGCUAAGUUCCUUGUCCCCGUCCGGUUUUGAGGUUCGAUUUGGUGAGUCUUUUUCCCUCUCCGGUUUCCUUUUUGUCUUCUUCAUCUGUCCUUUUCUUAAAACUAGUUUGCUUAUAAUAAUUUGGUUGAAAAGUCAAUUCAUCUUCUGAGUCCAAUUUGUUCUUCCGGUCGUUAUUUUCCCUUUUCUCUCUUUUCUUCGUGAAUGUUGUUUUGUGACGUUUUUAAGUUAAGUUUUUGGUUCGUUAAAUCACUUAAUUAAGUCGAUUUCCUAUUAAUUAGCUCAUUCAUCUUUGUCUUUGCUUGAUUGCAUUUUGAGGAUGGGGUUCUGGAUUUCUUGUAGGAAAAUUUUGGGUCAAUCUUUCGAGUUGGGAAUCCUUGAUGGAUUUUAAUAGGGCUCCGGAAAUCAGAAUAGCCCAAGAAGGAUUUGAAUUGGGUCUAGUUCAGACCCAUUCACUUGGGUCAUUUGGACCCGGGUUCUGCUAGGCUGGCAGGGUAAAUAAUCAGGGUUCGAGGGGUAGUCUAGGGAAUUGGCCUAGGGAAUCCUGAGUGUAACUGAAUGGGAAGCUUCCAGGAAGCUGGGGGUAGGGAUUAAAGUGAAUUUCUGAAAAUUAAGCUAGGGACACUUAAGCAAAAAAACAAAACUCAAAAGGGGGCAAAGUGCAAGCUAAGUCUGUCGUAAUAGCUUGCCUAUAAAGGCAGCUUUUCUUGCCUUUCAAGGCAGACCCAAGAGAGAUUUUGAGAGUUGGAAAUCUAGAAAAUAUAGAAGCUGCAUAAUUUUACUAUUUUCAUAGACUGCAAGAGUAAAAGGGUUUGAAAGAGAAAAAAAUCUGAAAAAUACAAACGAUUGAGUGCUUGUACUGUUCCAUUGCAUUUUUCAGUAGGUUUUGAUUCGUUCAGUUUCUGAGAUAAUUUUGAUUCAGUUUAUGUGGAAAUGGUUUGAAUUUGGAUUUUUAAAAAAAGUCUUGGUUUGAAGCUGCUGUAGUCCCAGCUCGAUUGGGGGUUAUUUUUGUUACUAUUUCAUCUUGAAUUCCUGGUUUGAACUGGUUUGCUGAAGCUGUUGUUCUAUUGCUGUUACUGUUUCUUCACCUCUUUCCUUUUAAUCUCCAGGUACAAAUUCUGAAUCCUUCAUGAUGUAGAAUUCAAUUUGAAGAUGGAAUAAAGGCAGAGCUGAUCUUUCACGAUGUUUAUGUGUUUAGUCAUCUGUUCAUAAUGUCGUUUAGUUGGUCUCUGUUUGAUUAGACAAGUUUUCAUGUUGCAAUUAAAUUUUGGACUGUUGGAACUUGAUUUCGAGUCUUAAUUUCCAAUUUUGGGUUUUUGCAAGUCUUUGGUCCAUGGAACCUUAGACUUCUGGGCCAUUUUCAAGAGAGGAUGGCACGUUGGAUGCAUUGGGCUUGUCUGCUGAGCCCAAUGGAUGGUAUGGUCGUUGUUGGACAUUUCACAUAGCAGACUUGAUUCAAACGCAUGCCGGAAAAAAAAUGAAAUCAGAAUUUUAGUUUAAUUAAUUUGUAUCAGUUGUUUAAAAAUCAUAAUUCUCAUUUGCUGACUCGAUUUCACAUUCCUUGCGGUAUCAGUUGAGUGACAUUCUUGUUUGGCAUGAUAAUUUGGAGCUUAAAAGCUGGGCCUAAUGUAGGUCCAGCUGAAGAAUAAUCACAAUCAGACCUAUGGACGUUUUUUUUAUCAGAAAUUGGGCUUGGUUAAGCCCAAAGCUUGAAGACAUUUUAAAAGGGGUCCGUUUGUUGGUGUUUGAAAUAGCUUCCCUUUUGGCCUUUAAUUUUCUAAUGCACUGCAUUUUAGUAAGCUUGUAGGGUAGAACCUUUAGUUUAAAUGGGUAGAAGUUCCGCAAAUUUUCUUUAGUUAAUUAAUUGGGCUUUUCAAAAAUAGAUUGGAAAUGUGCUAUAUUAGGUAAUACAAAUAGCUUAUGGCCCUCCAAAGUUUAGUUUGAAUUCUCUUUAAAAAUUGGAAUUGGGGCGUGCCAUGCCAAACAAAAAAUCACAAUUGCAUGGCCUUCGUAUUAAUUUAGAUAUAAAAAUUGACAAAUGUAUGGAGUUUGCUUAUGUACGCUUAAUAUACUAUCCUAAUUAUGGACACGUUCGCGUGACAUGAUUACGGUUUCUAAAAACGAAAACCGGAGUAUGCAUUCGCGCAACUUCGGCCGAACUUUCUUAAUAAUAACAAAGCGUUAUUAAUUGUGGACACGUACGCGUGACAUGAUUUUUGACGCACCAAACGAAAUGAGUACAUGUACGCGUGACCCGUUUCAAGGUAAUUUCUUAAAAAAAAAAGAGGUAAGUGCACAUAGGUUCUAAAAGGAGUAAUUAGACAAUUUAAUAAGCCAAGUAUGAUCAAAGCGACUGUGCUAGAACCACAGAACUCGGGAAUGCCUAACACCUUCUUCCGGAUUAACAGAAUUCCUUACUCGAAUUUCUGGUUCACGGACUGUAGUACAAAGUCAAUCUUUUCCUCGAUUCGGGAUUCGAACUGGUGACUUGGGACACCAUAAAUUAUCCCAAGUGGCGACUCUGAAUCUUUAAAUAAUAAAUCCCGUUUCGAUUGUCCUUUAAUUGGAAAACUCCCUUAUACUUAUACACCCUUCCGAGGGUGUAGGUAAAAAAAAGGUGUGACAGGUGCCAUCACGAUCGGAUUGGUUUUAGGGUCUUGACACAUAAGUACUUAUCAGAGCCUAGGUUACAUAGGUUUUACUAGUCAUGAGCAGGUUUAGUAGAGUCUCGCGGAUUAGUACGGAGACAUCUGUACUUAUCCUCAGGAGGCUAAAGAACCUUUAGGAAAACCUUCACAUUCUUGAAUUCUUGUCGUGCGAAACUGUUGAUUCUGGUACUAAACUUCUGUUAUUUUAUUCUCUCACGGAUGGUGAGGACACGCGCUACCGGUCAGGAUAGACGACCACCAGUACCACUAGUUGGGGCAACUAGAGGCCGAGGACGCAGUCGAGACCAGUACCCAAAUAACCUUUGGAACUUGUCGAAUCUAGAAUUUAGUUUUGACCUAAUUUCUGUUUUGGAGAUUUCUUUGAAGUUUUGUUUGUUUGGGUUGGAAGCUCGCCCAAAUAGGUUAUUCUUGUCUAGAAUAAUCGUUUAGGUCAGUUUCAAGCCUCGUCGAUAGCAUUCUGAACUAGGCCAGCCUGCCGUUUCUGUGUCGUUGUUCGUCUGGUUGAUUAAAUUGUUAUUUCCUUGACUUUAGUCAUUUAUUCAUUUUUUGUUUCUUAUGUUCUUUUCCUCUCAAUUUUGUCUGUUGCAUGUUAUGUGUCGUCUGUUUGUUUGCAUAUUUAGGUGUAAUUCGAGGUUCAAUUGCAUUGUUGUGGUUUAUUUGAGCAUGUUUAGUUGUUAAUUUUGUUUUAGAAUGCAUUGAUUAUUCCAGUACUUAUGAAAGUUCCAUUUAGGGUUCCUUGUAUAGAUCAGUUCAUUAUGAAUUGAUGAUAUUUUAGUUCAUUCACUAGUUGUUAGAUACCUUUUUCAGCUUUGAAUUUCAUUUGCUUUUAAUCCAUUUGAAGAUAUUAGCUUGUGGGGUAAUUUAGGAGUUAGGAAUAGAAUUUUCAGAUAAGGAUUGGUAUAGGAAGGUUCUAAAACCUGGGGCAGAUGUCCCCAUUUGGUUAGCACAAAAAUGUUGAGCCAAUAAGGGAUAACCAGGUGUCCAGACAGUUAAAAAAGAUGUCUUGCAGGCUGGGAAUAAUUCCCUAGGUUGUUUUUUAAGAACAUGGAUAGAGAGGCCUAUAAAAGGCCGCCUUUCCUUCACUCAAAAGCAGAGUUUCAAGCAUAUUUCCCUGCAAAAAAGUUCUGAAAUACAAAAAUAGAUUCUGAAUCUA
rnacentral:lncRNA from 1 species